CCCCUCCCCCCCUGCGUGACCUGAGCGCGUCUGGUGUGGGUGGACAAAAAAGCACGAGUGCGGAUCGGGUACUGGCUAGAGGCGGAGAGGGUAGUAAGUAGGGCUGCACGCACCAGUAGAUAACAGUAGCCAGAAAAUACUGGGCCGGUACCAAAGGAUACAACCGCCAGGUUGGAUUCGAAUAAAAGUUGCAAUGAAGGACAUGUGUUUCCGGUGUAAUGACACAAAGUGCCCAGAGGUGACGAAAUGUUUUGAUCAUAAUGAUGACCUGAACCAGAAUCUGCUGAUGGUGCCAGGUCCUUUCCAGCAAUGCACAUCCACCCCCUAUCCUCCUUCUGGGAGGUGCACCAUGUGUAGUCUGGAUUAUUAUUACACUGUGUGCAGAAACGUCUCAGAGAGCUUCCAGCCUGCCCUGGAGGCCAACAGCACAGCCAUUACCAACUAUGAACAAGCCAAUUGCCUUGUCAUCGGCAUCGCACCAACUACUGUGAAUGGGUGGUGGUGUUUACUUAUCCCUGUCCUGGUCGUUGUUUGCAUUGGCAUCAUUACUUACAGGUGUAUCAAGAAGCGCAAAAUAAAAAACUAUGUCAUAUAAGGCACUCAGGACUACCCAUCCCUUAACCAAGCUAUUUGGACCCAACCCCCAGAGAAAGUGACAGGGACAGCACUCAGGACUACCCAAACCCCCAGAUCAGGAUGCUGCUGCGUUAUCUCUGCCUUAAUUCCAUCACUUUAACUCUUCUUCUUAAAGUUGUAAUCUUUUAAUACGUUUUCAUAUUCAUAUUCUUGUAAAUCAGUACCGUUAAACCAGUGCCUUGGAUAAUUUUUGGUCCUCUAAUACUGACACCAGCCGGCUAAAGCCUACUCUUAUUCUUAGGAAUAAGUAUGGAAAUACAAAUGUUUUACCCAUGACGCAUCUACCAGGGUAUUUUGAAUGGGGCAAAAAAGGAAAAUAUGUCCAGUUAUUAAUCAAGCAGAGAUAAGCUUAUUCAAAAGUUGAUGCACUUUAACCCACCAAUGAAUUAUAAUUUACACAUGUUCUAUAACACCCAUUCCACCUUUGAAACUUCAUAUGAGUCUGGUCUGCACAUGGCUGAGGGAGGAAUGUAGUGAUUUAUAAUACAAGUUAUUACCAUCAAGAUGAUGGUACAGGACCCCACUACUGAAAAUCAACCUGGGUUCAUAAAUGAUUUGUGCCAUCCAUCUCCCUAAUGAAAAGGAUUUAUCCUAGCCUUCACCACCACUGUACUGUAUGUAAAAGCAUUAUGUUGUACUGUGCUAUUUGUCUAUGUCAGUACUGUAUUUCUAAUGCUAGUGUUUGUGAAAUGCAGUAAGUCUAUUUACAAGUAUAUUUAUGCUGUAAAGCAGGGUUUCCCAAAGUCAUUUAAAUUGGUUAUUUGAAUCAGCUGUGUAGUGCUAGGGCAAAAAAGAUAUAUGGACCCAGGGUGGGCCCCACAACUGAGUUUGGGAAACCCUGCUGUACAUUAUGAGGCUGUAAUACUCUAUUCUAUACCAGUACUCAAGUGUUGGAGAAAAGCAUCAUGAAAUAUUUACUUCUCUUUCUCAAAUAAAUCUUU
rnacentral:lncRNA from 1 species